rnacentral:rRNA from 1 species
GGCAGACGGGAGAGUAACACGUGGGAACGUACCCUUUGGUUCGGAACAACCCAGGAAACUUGGGCUAAUACCGGAUAAGCCCUUACGGGGAAAGAUUUAUCGCCGAAGGAUCGGCCCGCGUCUGAUUAGCUAGUUGGUGGGGUAACGGCCCACCAAGGCGACGAUCAGUAGCUGGUCUGAGAGGAUGAUCAGCCUCACUGGGACUGAGACACGGCCCAGACUCCUACGGGAGGCAGCAGUGGGGAAUAUUGGACAAUGGGCGCAAGCCUGAUCCAGCCAUGCCGCGUGGGUGAUGAAGGCCUUAGGGUUGUAAAGCCCUUUCGGCGGGGAAGAUAAUGACGGUACCCGCAGAAGAAGCCCCGGCUAACUUCGUGCCAGCCGCCGCGG